CGGACGGGUGAGUAAUGUAUGGGGAUCUGCCUGAUGGCGGGGGAUAACUACUGGAAACGGUAGCUAAUACCGCAUAACGUCGCAAGACCAAAGAGGGGGACCUUCGGGCCUCUUGCCAUCGGAUGUGCCCAGAUGGGAUUAGCUAGUAGGUGGGGUAACGGCUCACCUAGGCGACGAUCCCUAGCUGGUCUGAGAGGAUGACCAGCCACACUGGGACUGAGACACGGCCCAG
rnacentral:rRNA from 1 species